rnacentral:rRNA from 1 species
UACAGAGGUGGCAAGCGUUGUUCGGAAUUACUGGGCGUAAAGGGCGCGUAGGCGGUUUUGUAAGUCCCGCGUGAAAUCCCCCGGCUCAACUGGGGAACUGCGCGGGAAACUGCGAGGCUUGAGUUCGGGAGAGGGAGGCGGAAUUCCGGGUGUAGCGGUGAAAUGCGUAGAUAUCCGGAGGAACACCGGUGGCGAAGGCGGCUUCCUGGACCGACACUGACGCUGAGGCGCGAAAGCUAGGGGAGCAAACGGG